CCUACGGGAGGCAGCAGUGAGGAAUAUUGGUCAAUGGGCGCGAGCCUGAACCAGCCAAGUAGCGUGCAGGAUGACGGCCCUAUGGGUUGUAAACUGCUUUUAUACAGGGAUAAAGUAGGGAACGUGUUCCCUUUUGCAGGUACUGUAUGAAUAAGGACCGGCUAAUUCCGUGCCAGCAGCCGCGGUAAU
rnacentral:rRNA from 1 species